AUUGAACGCUGGCGGCAUGCCUAACACAUGCAAGUCGAACGGCAGCAUGAUGAGAUGCUUGCAUCUCAUUGAUGGCGAGUGGCGGACGGGUGAGUAACGCGUAGGAAUCUGCCCUUAAGUUGGGGACAACCCGGGGAAACUCGGGCGAAUACCGAAUAGAAACUCUUAGGAGGAAAGCUGGGGACUUAGAAAUAGGCCUGGCGCUUGAGGAGGAGCCGGCGUCCGAUUAGCUAGUUGGUAGGGUAAAGGCCUACCAAGGCGACGAUCGGUAGCUGGUCUGAGAGGAUGACCAGCCACACUGGGACUGAGAGACGGCCCAGACUCCUACGGGAGGCAGCAGUGGGGAAUAUUGGACAAUGGGGGAAACCCUGAUCCAGCGAUGCCGCGUGUGUGAAGAAGGCCUGAGGGUUGUAAAGCACUUUAGUUGGGGAAGAGAGUGUGUUGUUUAAGAGAUGAUACAUGAGACAUGAACCGAAGAAUAAGCACCGGCUAACUCCGUGCCAGCCGCCGCCGUAA
rnacentral:rRNA from 1 species